rnacentral:rRNA from 1 species
GACGAACGCUGGCGGCGUGCUUAACACAUGCAAGUCGAACGGAAAGGCCCUGCUUUUGUGUGGUGCUCGAGUGGCGAACGGGUGAGUAACACGUGAGUAACCUGCCCUUGACUUUGGGAUAACUUCAGGAAACUGGGGCUAAUACCGGAUAGGAGCUCCUGCUGCAUGGGGGGGGUUGGAAAGCUUCGGCGGAGUGGGAUGGAUUCGGGGCUUAUUAGCUUGUUGGUGGGGGAGUGGCUUACCAAGUCUUUGGCUGAUAGCCCGCCUGGGAGGGGAGCCGGCCACAAGGCGACUACGGGAGGGAGCAGAGGCGAAUGUUAGGCAAUGGUGGGAAGUCUUACACAACGGGGCGAAGUGUGUGGCAAAAAUGUUGGGAUCGUAAAGACGUCCUAGUGGGGGGGAACCGCUUUAGGUUGAUACGUAGCGGUAGUGACGGUACCAGGAAAAGAAGCACCGGCUAACUACGUG